UCCGCCUCUUCCUAGGGCUGCAAUUCUGUUCUGGGCAAGUCUGCUCAGCACCGGUCAGGAUGGUGUUCCCUGCUGUUGCUGCUGCUCCAUCUUGGCAGCACAACCCUCCAGAGGUUGAGCACCCAGCUGCCCUGCAAAGCUCCCAGCAUCUGCAUCCAAAAGCCACUGGAGUUGGGGCCACAUAGCAGGCUUUGCGACAGGGUGAAUUCCUUCUCCAGGUGGGGCGGUAAAGAGUCUCCUCCACGCCUGCCUUCCUGGAACGUUGCCAUGUCUCCUGAAAUGCAUGAAGAGCUAGCAAAAGUCCCCCUCUCUCUUACUUUUGGAAAUUCCGGGGGUCAACCUUGGGGUGACACAGAUAUCUUCUUCAGGUUUGGGUCUUGGAGGAGGGGGGGGGGAGCUGCCUAUCUUGACCAGUUUGUGCUUUUCAGAAGUAAGAAGCCAAAGGUUGGGGUCUCUUCAAGAAAGUCUUGGGAUCUUGGCACCCCUGCCCUGCUCUGCCUCUGUCUGCCCUCAAGGGAGCUUUCGGCAAUUAAAAGAAUCCAGUGAAGAAGCUGUUGCAGAUGCUAAAAUGAGCACAAAUGAUCAAACUGCUGCCUACAAAGUCAUAACUAGAAAAAUAACCUUACACAAUAUGCUUGUCAAAAGGCCUGGAGGGACUUGCUUUUUUGCAAGCAAAACUUGGGUAUCCGUUUGAGUGUGUCCACUUCAAUGCCCCCUUGCUAGUUGUGCGGGUGGGAUGGCAGCCUUUUCCCUGUGGCAGCCCCUAAAUUGUGCAACACCCUCCCUCCCCACAGGGGUCCCUGAGCCCCCUGGCCUUUGAGUGUUGGGGCAUCUUGGCUUGUUGAAUUUAUAUUCUUUUGGGUUUGGUUGGAAGGUUUUCGCUGGUUUUGUGGAUACAAUUGCUGAAGCCCAUCCUGGGACCACCUUUUAAAUAAAUGAAUACAUGGG